rnacentral:tRNA from 1 species
CUUGGCUCAGCUGGUAGAGCGACGCAUUCGUAAUGCGUAGGUCGGGGGUUCGAAUCCCCCA